UUUAGCAGAGAUGCUUUAGUGCCUUCGGGAACUCUGAGACAGGUGCUGCAUGGCUGUCGUCAGCUCGUGUUGUGAAAUGUUGGGUUAAGUCCCGCAACGAGCGCAACCCUUAUCCUUUGUUGCCAGCACGUAAUGGUGGGAACUCAAAGGAGACUGCCGGUGAUAAACCGGAGGAAGGUGGGGAUGACGUCAAGUCAUCAUGGCCCUUACGAGUAGGGCUACACACGUGCUACAAUGGUGCAUACAAAGAGAAGCGACCUCGCGAGAGCAAGCGGACCUCAUAAAGUGCGUCGUAGUCCGGAUUGGAGUCUGCAACUCGACUCCAUGAAGUCGGAAUCGCUAGUAAUCGUAAAUCAGAAUGUUACGGUGAAUACGUUCCCGGGCCUUGUACACACCGCCCGUCACACCAUGGGAGUGGGUUGCAAAAGAAGUAGAUAGCUUAACCUUCGGGAGGGCGUUUACCACUUUGUGAUUCAUGACUGGGGUGAAGUCGUAACAAGGUAAGCGUAGUGCU
rnacentral:rRNA from 1 species